rnacentral:rRNA from 1 species
UGCGUAGGCGGUCGGGUAAGUCUGACGUGAAAUCUUCAAGCUCAACUUGGAAACUGCGUCGGAUACUAUUCGGCUGGAGGAAUGGAGGGGAGACUGGAAUACUUGGUGUAGCAGUGAAAUGCGUAGAUAUCAAGUGGAACACCAGUGGCGAAGGCGAGUCUCUGGACAUUUCCUGACGCUGAGGACGAAAGCCCAAGGGGGACGCGAAACG